CGCCUGAUCUUCGCCCGAUGCCUCCCCGCAGGGCAUCCACACGGCGAUCUACGGCCUCCGCAGCCUGAUCACAGGCUCCGGCCUCACCUCCAGUCUCCCAGCCUCUAUCUCCUCCUCCGACGACGGCGGUUGGCACGGAGCAACUCGACCUACUGGUGCAGCAGGUCAGAGGCCUAACUGAGGCUGUGCAGGCCAUGCAACAGCAGCAGCCGCCGCAGGCAUCGG
rnacentral:lncRNA from 1 species